rnacentral:rRNA from 1 species
CCUACGGGCGGCAGCAGUGAGGAAUAUUGGUCAAUGGACGAGAGUCUGAACCAGCCAAGUAGCGUGAAGGAUGACUGCCCUAUGGGUUGUAAACUUCUUUUAUAAAGGAAUAAAACGAGGCACGUGUGCCUUUUUGCAUGUACUUUAUGAAUAAGGAUCGGCUAACUCCGUGCCAGCAGCCGCGGUAAUACGGAGGAUCCGAGCGUUAUCCGGAUUUAUUGGGUUUAAAGGGAGCGUAGAUGGGUUGUUACGUCAGUUGUGAAAGUUUGCGGCUCAACCGUAAAAUUGCAAUUGAUACUGGCAGUCGUGAGUACAGUUGAGGUAGGCGGAAUUCGUGGUGUAGCGGUGAAAUGCUUAGAUAUCACGAAGAACCCCGAUUGCGAAGGCAGCUUACUAAACUGUGACUGACAUUGAUGCUCGAAAGUGUGGGUAUCAAACAGGAUUAGAUACCCGAGUAGUC